AUGGCCACAUCACAUUGACACACCAAUUCCCAUAUGAUCACCAAAGUUAAGCAAUGCUGAGCCUGGUUAGUACCUAGAUAGGUAGCUGCUUGGGAAUACUGAGUGCU